rnacentral:rRNA from 1 species
GGAGUUAGCCGGUGCUUCUUCUGUGAGUGAUGUCCUUCCUGCCGGCUAUUAACCCGCAGGCCUUCUUCCUCACUGAAAGUGCUUUACAACCCGAAGGCCUUCUUCACACACGCGGCAUGGCUGGAUCAGGGUUGCCCCCAUUGUCCAAUAUUCCCCACUGCUGCCUCCCGUAGGAGUCUGGGCCGUGUCUCAGUCCCAGUGUGGCUGAUCAUCCUCUCAGACCAGCUACGGAUCGUCGCCUUGGUGAGCCGUUACCUCACCAACCAGCUAAUCCGACAUAGGCUCAUCCGAUAGCGCGAGGCCCGAAGGUCCCCCGCUUUCCCCCGUAGGGCGUAUGCGGUAUUAGCCUGGGUUUCCCCAGGUUAUCCCCCACUACCGGGCAGAUUCCUAUGCAUUACUCACCCGUCCGCCGCUCGCCACCAGGGAGCAAGCUCCCCGUGCUGCCGCUCGACUUGCAUGUGUUAGGCCUGCCGCCAGCGUUCAAUCUGACGCCAGAUACAAACUCUGA